GACGAACGCUGGCGGCGUGCUUAACACAUGCAAGUCGAACGGAAAGGCCCUGCUUUUGUGGGGUGCUCGAGUGGCGAACGGGUGAGUAACACGUGAGUAACCUGCCCUUGACUUUGGGAUAACUUCAGGAAACUGGGGCUAAUACCGGAUAGGAGCUCCUGCUGCAUGGUGGGGGUUGGAAAGUUUCGGCGGUUGGGGAUGGACUCGCGGCUUAUCAGCUUGUUGGUGGGGUAGUGGCUUACCAAGGCUUUGACGGGUAGCCGGCCUGAGAGGGUGACCGGCCACAUUGGGACUGAGAUACGGCCCAGACUGCUACGGGAGGCAGCAGUGGGGAAUAUUGCACAAUGGGCGGAAGCCUGAGGCAGCAGCGCCGCGUGCGGGAUGACGGCCUUCGGGUUGUAAACCGCUUUCGCCUGUGACGAAGCGUGAGUGACGGUAACGGGUAAAGAAGCACCGGCUAACUACGUG
rnacentral:rRNA from 1 species